CCAUCUUACUUUGUUCUCAUAACCGGAUAGGUCUUGAGGUACCCGGUCCGACCCAGAAGCAUCCGGGUCGAGUCGACUGACCCGGAAACAUUGAGAGCACAACCGUAAACCUGCCGGACCCCAAUCAAUUCCCAUCCCUUCGCUUGAUUUUCCAGAACAAUCACGCGGAGAGAGAGAGAGAGAGUGAAACACUAGAUGAUGGAUUCCAAAUCGAGCCGAAAAGCUAGAGACGAACGAGAGAGAAAUCGAGAUUCGAUCGAUGAGUACAGAUAUUCAAGCAAAGAUCACACGAGAUCGAGACCACAAGCACCGAAGAGAAAGCACAAAUC
rnacentral:lncRNA from 1 species